CCUACGGGUGGCUGCAGUGAGGAAUAUUGGUCAAUGGACGAGAGUCUGAACCAGCCAAGUAGCGUGAAGGAUGACUGCCCUAUGGGUUGUAAACUUCUUUUAUAUGGGACUAAAAUGUUCCACGUUUGGGAUUUUGUAUGUACCAUAUGAAUAAGGAUCGGCUAACUCCGUGCCAGCCGCCGCGGUUAUUCGGAGGGUCCGAGCUUUAUCCGGAUUUAUUGGGUUUAAAGGGAGCGUAGGUGGAUUGUUAAGUCAGUUGUGAAAGUUUGCGACUCAACCGUAAAAUUGCAGUUGAAACUGGCAGUCGUGAGUACAGUAGAGGUGGGCGGAAUGCGUGGUGUAGCGGUGAAAUGCUUAGAUAUCACGAAGAACUCCGAUUGCGAAGGCAGCUCACUGGACUGCAACUGACACUGAGGCUCGAAAGUGUGGGUAUCAAACAGGAUUAGAUACCCGGGUAGUC
rnacentral:rRNA from 1 species